rnacentral:rRNA from 1 species
UGACCUCAAAUCAGGUAGGAUUACCCGCUGAACUUAAGCAUAUCAAUAAGCGGAGGAAAAGAAACUAACAAGGAUUCCCCUAGUAACUGCGAGUGAAGCGGGAUGAGCUCAAAUUUAAAAUCUGGCGGUCUCUGGCCGUCCGAGUUGUAUUCUGGAGAAGUGCUUUCCGCGCUGGACCG